AGCAUACCAAGAUGUACCUACAGGCCUAGAGAAUUACUAGUGACAACCUAGGCACUCAGAAGGACCCGUCAAUCUAGGCAUCUCCUGUGCUAGCAACAACUAUAGUGAAAGUGUGUGAAUGCAACAUAAUCAAGCAAACACCAAACAGCAUAAAAAGAUUACUAGUCAACCGCACAAAUCCAGAUGACUAGUCAACUAUCAA
rnacentral:lncRNA from 1 species